GGAAGGGUUGUAUUUAUUAGAUAAAGAACCAAUAUAAUUGGUGACUCAUAAUAACUUUACGGAUCACAAUAAAUGUGACAUAUCAUUCAAGUUUCUGACCUAUCAGCUUUAGAUGGUAGGGUAUUGGCCUACCGUGGCAAUGACGGGUAACGGGGAAUUAGGGUUCGAUUCCGGAGAGGGAGCCUGAGAAACGGCUACCACAUCUAAGGAAGGCAGCAGGCGCGCAAAUUACCCAAUCCUAAUACAGGGAGGUAGUGACAAGAAAUAACAAUACAGGACUUUUUGGUUUUGUAAUUGGAAUGAGUUAAGUAUAAACCCCUUUACAAGUAUCAAUUGGAGGGCAAGUCUGGUGCCAGCAGCCGCGGUAAUUCCAGCUCCAAUAGCGUAUAUUAAAGUUGUUGCAGUUAAAAAGCUCGUAGUUGGAUUUCUGUUAAUAAUUUAUAUAUAGAAUAUUUUGAAAGAUAUUUUUAUAUAAUAUUAACAUAAUUCAUAUUACUAUAUUUUUUUAGUAUAUGAAAUUUUACUUUGAGAAAAUUAGAGUGCUUAAAGCAGGCAUAUGCCUUGAAUACUCCAGCAUGGAAUAAUAUUAAAGAUUUUUAUCUUUCUUAUUGGUUCUAAGAUAAGAAUAAUGAUUAAUAGGGACAGUUGGGGGCAUUCGUAUUUAACAGUCAGAGGUGAAAUUCUUAGAUUUGUUAAAAACAAACUAAUGCGAAAGCCUUUGCCAAGGAUGUUUUCAUUAAUCAAGAACGAAAGUUAGGGGAUCGAAGACGAUCAGAUACCGUCGUAGUCUUAACCACAAACUAUGCCAACUAGAGAUUGGAGGUUGUUCCUUACUCCUU
rnacentral:rRNA from 1 species